rnacentral:lncRNA from 1 species
CUUUCUAACCAAAUCUAUCUGGGUUAAGGAUGUCCAUUGCAGGCCCAGCAAUGAAGCAACACUGCUAUUACUCCAGAAGAGAACGAGUUUUUAAAUACCAUUCAGUUCAGUGUGGUACUUUUGUUGAAAUCAAUUAAGAAUCUUCAGAUGAUAAAUCAUGCUGCUUAAAGGAUUCUCAGUGAGCUGACUGUGCUCCCAGAUCAGUUCCCUUGACUGGUAACUCUCCCGGCCUGGGGCUGGUGCCAUCUGUAGCGGUGAAAACAGGCUGGUGGCCAGGGGGUUUGUUUCAUGCACAGCUGCUGCCGGCCGAGAGCACUGCACCAUCAGGGCCUUCAGGCUGUGCCCUCACCUUUGCCUGACGCGGCUGAGCUGAGCUGCUGCUCCUCCCUCCCCUUCCCAAGAUGGCUUUCGUGGGCUGGGAGAGCCUGAGGUCAUCAUUCGGGACAAAGUACCACCUUUACCACCUGCAGGUUGGAGAUCUCAGCACCUCUCACUGCUAGACCAGCUUCAGUACUAUUUGCUCAGCUGCAGUGGCACUUGUAUUAUUGCAGUAGCAGGAGCUAAGGUGAACAAACUGAAUGCAUGGAGCACAGGACUAUGUAUUCAUCACGUUCACAGAUUAAUGGGGAAAUGCUGUAAAGCAAAUGUAUGUGUAGACUGAUAAGUCAGCUUAAAUUGAUUCAUCGUGAACUACAGAAUAUGUAUUAGCCUUGGUAGGCUGUAGCUAGCUAGGAAUAAUAAGGCAUGCAGAAAUGCACACAUCUUAGGAAGAGAGGAAACUAGAACGCAACUUCUCAAAACUGUCAGGACUGGAUAGUGUAAACAUCAUGUGCUGCGGAAAAGUCAUCUUGAAUUGUCUUCGAAGAGAUGUUAUUUCGAAACAGGAGAAAUAGAGUUAUCUCUGUAUGCAUCCCUUGAUUUGGCUAUCGUUGAAGGCAGAAAAAAUGGAGGUAGGUUGACACAGACAAGCAGGUAAAAUGAUGGUAAAUGUUAGAGAAUUGACCUCUGGGCAUAACGGUUCUGAAGACCAUGACUGAAACUCAUCUCAGUCAAUGCCUGCAGUGAAAUGUUCUCUGGGUGGACUGGAUGUAAACAAAGACAAGCUAAGGAAAAAUAGCCUGGAAAGGAUGAAUUCAUUGGAAAGGGAAAGUAGUACUGCUGUCAGAGACUGUCUCUGAAUACCUCUAUGUGUUGAAAACUGCCUUUCAAUUAGUUUUAAUCACUGUUUUUAUUUAUAGCCUGUGUUGAAUACCUUUUACCUGUCC